CACGUAGGCGGAUCUUUAAGUCAGGGGUGAAAUCCUGGAGCUCAACUCCAGAACUGCCUUUGAUACUGGGGAUCUCGAGUCCGGAAGAGGUGAGUGGAACUCCGAGUGUAGAGGUGAAAUUCGUUGAUAUCGACAGGAACGCCGGUGGCGAAAGCGGAUUGCUGGUCCUUUUCUGACGCUGAUGCGCGAAAAGCCAGGGGAGCAAACG
rnacentral:rRNA from 1 species